rnacentral:rRNA from 1 species
AGAGUUUGAUCCUGGCUCAGGAUGAACGCUGGCGGCGUGCCUAAUACAUGCAAGUCGAACGCACAGCGAAAAGUGCUUGCACCUUUCAAGUGAGUGGCGAACGGGUGAGUAACACGUGGACAACCUGCCUCAAGGCUGGGGAUAACAUUUGGAAACAGAUGCUAAUACCGAAUAAAACUCAGUGUCGCAUGACACAAAGUUAAAAGGCGCUUUGGCGUCACCUAGAGAUGGAUCCGCGGUGCAUUAGUUAGUUGGUGGGGUAAAGGCCUACCAAGACAAUGAUGCAUAGCCGAGUUGAGAGACUGAUCGGCCACAUUGGGACUGAGACACGGCCCAAACUCCUACGGGAGGCUGCAGUAGGGAAUCUUCCACAAUGGGCGAAAGCCUGAUGGAGCAACGCCGCGUGUGUGAUGAAGGCUUUCGGGUCGUAAAGCACUGUUGUAUGGGAAGAACAGCUAGAAUAGGGAAUGAUUUUAGUUUGACGGUACCAUACCAGAAAGGGACGGCUAAAUACGUGCCAGCAGCCGCGGUAACACGUAUGUCCCGAGCGUUAUCCGGAUUUAUUGGGCGUAAAGCGAGCGCAGACGGUUGAUUAAGUCUGAUGUGAAAGCCCGGAG